rnacentral:lncRNA from 1 species
AUGGGAUGGAGAGAGGGCAGAGAGCCCUGUGCCUGGACUCAGAUGGCACUGUCAGCCACAUUUCCCCCCAGGGCAAGCUGGUGGCCCACUCCAGCUUCCCCUGAGAGUGAUAGUGCACUGAACGCACCAGGUCCUUUUUACAGUCCUGGGAGAGAGGCCACAGAACCUCCUUCCUGUCCUCAACCUGACAGCCCCCGCUCUUUCUGGGCCAAGAACUGGAAUGGCCCCACCCUCUCUGGGCCACCUGGAAUUUGGCUCGGGCUUCCCUCUCUGCAGAAACCAGGUGUCCUGAGCACCCUGGACAUAUCUCAGAGGGAGAAUAUUUGUUCUAUUCCAUCCCACAGAUGCUCUGACCUUCCUUCCGCAGAGACGCAGGCAGUGCCACCAGGGAGGAGGGGAGCUGCAAAGCUGAAAUCUAGGGCACCGUUUCCUCCCCAUCCUCCUCUUCAUAGGGAAUAUAGACGUUUGUCUUGUCUGUCUUCAACCUACUUUUCCUUUUUUUCCUUUUUACUCACACCCCUCUCUCCUCUCUUGUCCCCACGCUCCCCCACCUCAGUGCUCCGUGCUGUAUGCGUGUGCUCUCUGUUCUUGUAUACUCAAUAAAAGUGAAAUAAAUGUGUUUGAUGCUGAUCCA